AAAGAUGUCACUAAAAUGUCAUUAAAACGUCACUAAAAUUGUAAGGAAGAGAAAAUAUAUUUAGAGCACUGAACUGUAUUUAUAUUAAAAAAAAAAAAAAGAAAGAAAGAAAAAGAAAAAAAGCCCCAGAUGAGCAGACCUGCACAGCACAUGCUUUUCAAGGGCUAAAUAGACAACUGUACCAAACAGCCCUGGCCGAGAAGCUGGACAGGGUCCAACAACUCCCAGCCUUCCCAGGCCUCGCCCUGCCACAUCUCCUCCUUUUGAACCAGGCAGGAAGCCCAGGGCUGGCUCCCUGUCCUGUCUCCAGGGCCUCCCCUCGCCUGGCGCUUGCUUUCUCCUCUAUGGAGCGAGAGGCUGAGGCCCACUGGUCCGGGGUCUCCCCCCAAGCACUGUGCCAGCUCGGACUUCUCAUCCCGGAGCCCAGGGAGCCGGCAGUCGGAGAAGGAGAUGACCCUCUUUUCCAGGCGAGGACCCCCAAGCCCUCUCCAUUCCACAGAUGAGCCAGAGCUGAGGAACAUCACAGCGUUCGGGGACCGGUCACCUGCCUGUCGUAACCACCCUGCCUCUUGCCAGAAGACCCCUGGGAAAAGUUCAGCCAAACAGAAGGGAUGUGGAUCGUUCCCGAGCGUGAGGAGUCACUGAACCAAGCCCGAGCAUGAGGACACAUACUGCAGAUAGCGGGGGUGAAGAAACCACCUGCCGAAAAUGGGGACUCCAGAGAAGCCGGGCUCCCCCUCCAGCGCCGCGGCCCAGGGGAACGCAGGUCUCGACACCAGCACAGAGCAGCUCGUCAGACAGACUGAAGGGCUGCCACAAUCCUGCCCCCGAGCAAAAAAACCCCAAACCUUAGAUCCCGAGAUCACAGUCCCUUAAUAGCCGGAAAAGGUCAGACAAAAGGUUCUCACGAGUACUCUGUACCCCGUCAGCGUUCGUCAUCUGAGAUCUCAUCCGACUUACACCAGCUAAUGACACCGCAGGGCUGCCCUGCACCCGGGGUGGGGGGAGGGGGGCGCGUGCCCCUCGCGCAGUCCCGCCCGCCCCUCCGCCUCUGACAGCCAGCAGACCAGCAGGCUGGAUUUUUCCAGCAGCUGCUGUCAAGGAUGCAGCCAGCGUCCUCUCCAUCUCUGUGCUUUGGAACAUCGAUAAAUUUUACAGCUCAACCUGGUUUCCGUCUCUUCUGUAGCAACAACUGUCUUAAAAAUAAAAUUAGAACCAACACAUAUUUUUGCUAUCUUUGGGCGUUUUCCUAGACCUCUGAAGGGCCCAAGCUUGUGAAGGCUGGACAGCAACGUGUUUCGAAUUCAGUCAUCAGCGAGCUUUGGGUAUUAAUGACGCCAGGGGUGCCAAAUCGGCCCUCCCACAGCAAGGACAGUGACCAGGCAGAGUGCAGCCCCUACCCCGGCCGUCCCCAGAGUCAAGUGUCCCCCCUAGAGGGGGGGUGAGGCCAUCGCCACAGUGGGAGGAGAGAGGGAGAUUAGGAUGGUGUCCAGCCAUGGUGGGAAGAGGGACACACUGCCACCACAGGCUGUCCCCGCCCGGCCGUGAAAGGCUCGGGUUGCCACCAAAGAAAGGAGAUGGAACCAAGCCUGGCAGUGUUUCAUUUCCAACAGGGGACUCCAAGUUCUCAGCUUAAAGUAAAGAGAGAGAGGCAGUACCUCGAAACAGCACCCACAGAAAGAAGAAAACACCCGGGAAACUGAGCGGUCAGGGCCCCUCCGGCCCCGGCUGCCUCAAUACUCUGUUCUUCCAAACAGAACCAACCAGGGUAGAGGCCACAAACUUGGCCAAAUGACGUCCUUCAAUCUGGUGUGCAGCAUGAUCUCCUGGUAACAAAGGGUAGUUUUUCACCACUCAUGUUUCUGCAACUCAAGACCACCACUCAACAGACAAGAAAAAUAAAAACCAUGAGCAUGGUGGUUGUGAGGCAGAGCCCAAAGCGGGCAUCCUUCCUUUCUAGAUCUGAGACAGAAGCUUCUGGCAGGGUCCAGACCUGCUGAGCGAACACAGCUCAUCCCGGAGAGGCAUGGGGGCCCCUGCUGUAGUGACAAGCACAAGCAGCAGCCCAGGUACCCACAUCUACCCCUUACACCCCAAGACCUCACUCUUGGGGUGGUUCAGUGGGUUAAGCCUCUGCCUUUGGCUUGGGUCAUGAUCUCAGGGUCCUGGGAUUGAGCCUCACAUCGGCUCUCUGCUCAGCAGGGAGCUUGCUUCCCCCCGCCCCUCCUGCCUCUCUGCCUGCUUGUGAUCUGUCAAAUAAAAAAAAAAAAAAAGACCUCACUCUCAUUCCCUGAGGACCGUGUGGUUGCUGGCAUCUCGUUCUGUGCAUCUACCCAGCAAAAUGCGCUGGCCCAAGGCUCAAUUCUGAACCCAUGGCUGGAGAGCUGCUUCCUGUCCCGAGGACACGGUGGGAGCC
ensembl:lincRNA